GAGUCGCCGGAUCCAUGAAAGACCAGAGCUCCUCCGCCAUGGGUUUCAUCCUCGUGCUCCGCGAGUCUGCUUCAGGUUGCUGGGUGCCCAUCUCUGGACACCACCCACGCAUCAGCCCGACUGAUCUCGAGUUCAGAGAUGUUUCAGCUUAUGCGUGAGAUCAUCCAAGUCAACAACAUCAGCUAGCUCUUCUGAUCCAGUGCUGGGCAUUGGCCCAUUUCUCUCCUGGUGUAGAUGUCGCCCACGAGCAGCAGCCUGCUAUCCUACCCCAGCAGCAGACGAGAUCCAGCCCAGGACCAUGCAG